AAAAUGCAGGGAAAGGCUCAGAAUGGCAGGGGUUUUAUUACUGUAUUGAAUAUAUAUACAGAAAGGCUAACUUUUUUCUCAAGUAUAAGUAGACAGUGCUGUUGUGUAGCAACUCUUUUGAUUUUUGGCAUGUAUUUUUAAAAAUUCUGCUGGGGGGCAGACUAGUCUUUUUGGUUUUUUGUUGUUUUUAAAAAUAGUAAUUACUAAAAACCCCACAAAUCACUUCCAUUCAGAAAGAAAAUUACUCUAGAGAAUUAGAUCUACAUUGUUGGUAAAAUACAGAUUGUGUGAGGAAAAAAUAUAUAAAAGGAAGAAUUUACUAUUUUCUCUUCCUUUGGUUUUGAGUUCUUUUUGUGGCUCGGUUUUUUAAUCAAUAAAUAGAUUCUUAAGGUAGAACUCCCUUUGCUCAGUGCCUGUCAGGAACAUUUACAGUAGUUAUUCCCUUUUAGACUCCAACAUUUGGCUGCAGCCAUCCUAGAAGUGGAUAUGUGGUUACUUUUUGGUUACAUGUAAUCUUGCUCGACCAAAGCCAGAAAGAAACUUCAGUUACAAUUACACAUCCUUGCCAAGCUCAGCCUUCCUGUCUUUUGCAGCUAUGAAGUUUGGUGGCAAAAAAAUGGCAACCUACAAGAAACUUGCCCACAUGACUAAGGUAUUCAUUCUGCUGCUUUUUAAUCCAUGGAGUUACUUAGAGACUUCAUUCAGAGUAAAAUCAUGGGCACAGAACAUUCCCACCUUUCCACAGGUGGGAAAAGAAGAAAGUCAGUUGCAAAUAAAAGAUGGGCAACCUUGCUGGCAUUUGUGAGUCAUAUUUAGGUUAGGAAAGGAUUAAAUUUGAUUUAAGCAGUAUGGGAUGUUGGAUGAGUGCUUUUAAGAUAUAUGAGCUGGCAGUCUACUGUAAUUUACUUCUAUUUAGAUACUCCCCAUGAUGAGAUACUCAUGGAGCCAAGGAUUAUUGGAAAAAAAAAGGAAUAAUAAUGAAGUUCAUUAACAAUUUGCACAGUUUAACAGUUCAGAUUUUGCAGGCUUCUCCAAUUACUCCCUUCUGCUUUAGUGCAAGGAGGGUUGGCUGAAAGUACUUGAUGAAUUUUUUGUUGUCAGUGCCAGAGCUGCUGUAGAAUAUUUACUCAAAGGGAGUGAAAACAAUCUAUGCAAUGUGGAAUAUAGUAGGGAUGAUUCCUAAUGCUGCACUUUCACUCUAAGAGGUAUAAAGUGAUUGUUUAAAGUACAAGAGUGUUCUUAAUGGCAUGGUCAUCUGUUUUUCAAUCAGUAGUUACUACUCCCAUAAUACUGGGUUUGAUAUUUUUAAAACUCCAAUAUAGGUAUAGUAUUAAGAAUAAUACCCAAGUGUCAGGAUGAUAGGUUCCCUCUUUUCCUUUGAAUGUAUAGUAUUUUUUUUCUAUUAAUUUUUUGUCAAAAUUUGCAGGACUAUAUACAAAACCCCAAUCUUAAAAGUAAUGAAAUAAUAUUUAAGAUUACACUACUUUUAAUCAGUCUGCUGAAAUCAGUGCAAUUUUUUUCAGUCCUCCUAAUUUUUUUAGCAUUUUGUGAAAAUUUCCAGGCACACAGUUCUUCUGUGUAAUCAUUAGUAAUGCCACAUGCAGAAGAUUAGGCUGCAGGAGCAUGGGAAUUUCCAGAGAUCACAAAUGUUAAUUUUCUUCUCAGCCUCUCUAAAAAAAAGAGUUGAAAUCUUUGAGGUAAUAUUUUUGUAAAAUUCAGAAAAGUGCUACAAAGCAAUUAAAGCAUCAUUUGGGUAAAGUGUCAGAGUUGCACAGUAUUUGUAAAUUGUGCAUUGAGAAUUUUCAAGAACUGUACAGUGAAAACUGCAGAUUUGUAAUAAUUAUUGUAGAGCACUUGCACUGGGAGAAGAGAAGUCUUUUCUAAUUUCAUCAUUCUUACAUGGAUGUUGCAAAUUUGUGGCUUUCCAUUUGGGAGGAAACUCAGCCCAGGCCUAUAGAUGUAGAAGUCAGCAUUUCAGAAUUUCUAUAGAUCUCUGAUUUUUGGUCAUCCACACCAUGAGCUAAUAGUGUUUCAGGCAAAGGACUGGCUUUUGUAAUGCAUUUUGUAGAGCUCUAGUUCAGUGAUAAAUGUAAAGUUUGCCUGAAUGAACUGGUUUGUACAUUGGGUACCAGACUCCACAAGGCAUUGCAGAUGAUGUAUACAAUCCAGUUGUAAAAACUGGGGAAAGCUAUUUUCUAUUUUUAGUAGAAAAGUUUCCUUUAAUACAUUUUGAAAAAGUUUUUAUUCCAUGCCUUAAAAUAUUGGGGUGGAGGGAGAGAAAAGAAGGUUGUUAUCUUCUGGGUUUUAUAAGAAGAAGAAUUGCCAUUACCUUUUGGUUAUGAUGUAAAUGGAAUAGAGAAUUAUGUGAUCACUCAAAUUGCAUAUUUUAUCUCAGGGAAUUUUAUACUGUAAGGUGUCUUGAUCUUCAUAGAAUGAAGAAACUUUAUAUUAAUUAUAUAGAUUGACACUCAAUAAAAUGAAAGGAAGUAAUGCGAAACGACCCUAUUUUUCAUUCUGUUGUCUGUGUUAUGAAGGCUGAAGAAAACUGCUUUUUAAAGAGAAUGAAUGUCUUUUCAUGUUUGUUUAAUAAAUAAAAGUGCCUGAUUGUUCUCAGAGUAGUCAGGCCAUCUGAGGUUAGGCAUGAAACCUGGUUCUGCCAGGAGAAAAAUAUUUUCAUAGGACAGGCUGUACUGAGUUAUUUUCUAUAUGAAAAGGUGCAUUUAUUGAAGUCGGGUGUUGGAAAAAUGUCAUUUCAAACAAAAUCAAAAAACAAAAUUUCUCUUGACUUACAGAGAAUUUGAAUGUGGUUGGAUUUUUUUUGCCCCCCUUAAAUUUCAAAAUGAAACUAUGUUUAUUUUGGUAUUCAGCAUGUAGUGCUUUAUCUUCUUUUUUAGCUACAACUUUUUUUUCACAGUUGUUCAUGGUUGUUUUCAACUGAGCGACAAAAGACCAAGGUCAAAAUCUGUUUUCCCUAAGCUGUUAACACUGAUUGCUGCCCAAGUGAUGGGUUACCCCAUUUUUUAUUCAUCUUCUGUACAGCUUGGUGCACAGUAUUGAGAAAGCAUUUCUGAAAAUCCCUGCCCAGCCAGGAAGGGCUACAGACCUUGCUUUUCCCCCUGAGGUGAUUGAUGUUGUAUCAUUAUCACAUUUAACUUUUCUAAGUAGAGUUUAAACUGACUGCUUCCUUACUCCUGCCUGAGGGGGGAAACAUUUUUUAGCUCAUUUUCCAGAUGGCAUUGAACACUGGGUUUGGGAAACUGGUUAAAUAUUUUUCUGACAAAUAUUAGGUACCAUUUAUUCAAUUUUGUUUGGUGAGUGAGUUAUGCCUGAUUAAAUUCACACAGCUCUCCAACAGCCAUAUAAAAUGGUGUUUGUUUUAAGAGAGUAAAUAACCCUUCGUAGGGUGCACAGAGCCAACUCAAUCUAAAAUAUGUUGAUGAGAACACCGUGCCUUAAUGUGGAUUUAAAUGGUGUUUAACUAAAGGUAACUCAGGAUCCAAGUAUAACAGCCUGUUUUUAAUCAGUAAAAAAAAAAGUCGUUAUUUGAAUAACUUGCCUGUAACCAGCUUGGUUUAUGUAACCAACUCAGUUUAACAAUUUGCAUAAUUAUGUGUUUUCUUCUGUGUGGUCAGUUAAAAAACAAUACCCCAGGCCAGAAUUUCUAUGUCUUCUUUGCAUUCUGAAGAUUUUUUUAUUUUAUGGGCUUGAGCUAAAUACUUAAGCUUAAUUUUGACACAAUAACAGCUGUUCCUGAGAGUCUUGCCCUGAAAUUAUCUGAGAUAAAAGAGUCAAACCUGUUUUUUCAGGAGUGCUUUGAGAGCUGCAGGGUUUUCUCACUGCUGGUGCUAAAGAUGUUCAGGAAGCAUCAAGAAGAUGUGACCCCCUUUUCAUUGAAAAGUUUUCUCUAAAGUAGUACAUUUCUGAAUUCCUUCAAUGAUUUUAGUUCCUUAUAAUUGCAUAGAUUUAAUUUUUGCAACAGAUUUAAAACUGGACUUUAUUUCAGGAAUACUCAAUAUUUUAAUAAUAUUAUUUUAAUAACUAUGAAAAAUUGUCCCAAAUUUGGAACUUGAAUUUUUCUCUAUUUAUCAAAACAUCUUUUGAAGUUAAUCAACCCAAGGUUGGCUGUAUGCAUUAUGGAAGAAAAUUCUACAUUUGCAUCCUUGAAUUUGCCAUUGAUGUAAAAGAUGCUGUUGAUAUUUUGGAUUAUGAGAAGCUUAUAAAAUAGGAAAACAGAACAUUAGAAAUGCCCAAGCUGUGGCCUACUAUGGCUCCAAGAUCCUGAUCACAUGAAUGCCUAUGACUGGAAAUUGGCCAUCUUGCUUUUAAGCAGAAGGAUGAUUGCAAAUAGAAAGCAUAGAUUAUCAGAUUGUGAAUGUAUUUUGGUGCAUUUGUAAUGGUGCCAAAUUAUUUUGUGUGGUAUAAACAUGAUUAAUUUAUUUGAAGUAAGCACAACAUGACUACAUGAAAUACGGCAAAGCAAUUGUCCUAAAGGCGAAGUUGGAUUCAAAAUGGAAAA
rnacentral:lncRNA from 1 species